rnacentral:rRNA from 1 species
AACGAACGCUGGCGGCAGGCCUAACACAUGCAAGUCGAGCGCCCAGCAAUGGGAGCGGCAGACGGGUGAGUAACACGUGGGAACCUUCCCUAUAGUACGGAAUAGCCCAGGGAAACUUGGAGUAAUACCGCAUACGCCCGAGAGGGGAAAGAUUUAUCGCUAAUAGGAUGGGCCCGCGUAGGAUUAGCUAGUUGGUGAGGUAAUGGCUCACCAAGGCGACGAUCCUUAGCUGGUCUGAGAGGACGACCAGCCACACUGGGACUGAGACACGGCCCAGACUCCUACGGGAGGCAGCAGUGGGGAAUAUUGGACAAUAGGGGGCAACCCUGAUCCAGCAAUGCCGCGUGAGUGAUGAAGGCCUUAGGGUUGUAAAGCUCUUUUGCCAGGGAAGAUGAUGACUGUACCUGGAGAAUAAGCCCCGGCUAACUUCGUGCCAGCAGCCGCGGU